rnacentral:misc_RNA from 1 species
AUGUACCAUCGCAGAUGGAAUAACAAACAUAGAUUUGAAUGUAAUAGCCCAUUUCCACCACCAGUGUGCUGGAGCUACAACAGGAUGUUCCGUAUAAAAGAUCGGAAUCUCGCUCUACCCUAAAUAAAGAAGCUCAAAACCUACUGCUCUAGUAUGGCUAUACAUACCAACAGAACAAAUACAGUAGCAAAAUUUGACCAAUUAGAAAUCCAGGGGCAAGCGCUCACAACGUAUAUUACUGUUUCCUUUAGACAUGUAUACCAUUCCCGUUGCAAUAAAUGCCAUCUAAUGAUCCAUUAGCCAUCUUUGUCCCAUUUACAUAUCGAUGUGAUUUUAGUCCAGACGUACCAUUGCUCAAACUCCAUGUUUUGGGAACGCCCUUCUUCAACAAAGUUUCGAGUUGCCCAGUUGCUGCGGCUAUAAGCCCUAGGAACAGGGCAGAAGGGGUUCCUGGCCUUGAUUUAAAUUCUGGAUGAAAUUGAACUCCAAUGAA